rnacentral:rRNA from 1 species
UACGAGGGGGGCAAAUGUUGUUCGGAAUCACUGGGCGUAAAGGGCGCGUAGGCGGGUGUUUAAGUUAGGUGUUUAAUCCCGGGGCCCAACCCCGGACAGGCACCUAAAACUGGACAUCUUGAAUAGUGGAGAGGACGACGGAAUUGGGGGUGUAGCGGUGGAAUGCGUAGAGAUCCCCAAGAACACCAGUUGCGAAGGCGGUCGUCUGGACACAUAUUGACGCUGAGGCUCGAAAGCAUGGGGAGCAAACAGG